GGGCCGGUAGCUCAGCCUGGGAGAGCGUCGGCUUUGCAAGCCGAAGGCCCCGGGUUCGAAUCCCGGCCGGUCCA
rnacentral:ncRNA from 15 species